rnacentral:rRNA from 1 species
GAUGGACGCUGGCGGCGUGCCUAAUACAUGCAAGUCGAGCGAAUGGAUUAAGAGCUUGCUCUUAUGAAGUUAGCGGCGGACGGGUGAGUAACACGUGGGUAACCUGCCCAUAAGACUGGGAUAACUCCGGGAAACCGGGGCUAAUACCGGAUAACAUUUUGAACCGCAUGGUUCGAAAUUGAAAGGCGGCUUCGGCUGUCACUUAUGGAUGGACCUGCGUCGCAUUAGCUAGUUGGUGAGGUAACGGCUCACCAAGGCAACGAUGCGUAGCCGACCUGAGAGGGUGAUCGGCCACACUGGGACUGAGACACGGCCCAGACUCCUACGGGAGGCAGCAGUAGGGAAUCUUCCGCAAUGGACGAAAGUCUGACGGAGCAACGCCGCGUGAGUGAUGAAGGCUUUCGGGUCGUAAAACUCUGUUGUUAGGGAAGAACAAGUGCUAGUUGAAUAAGCUGGCACCUUGACGGUACCUAACCAGAAAGCCACGGCUAACUACGUGCCAGCCGCCGCUGUAA